ACCAAUAUAGUUUAAAGAAAACAGUAAUUUUGUAAAUUAAAAUUGUAUAUUAUUAUUAUUGGUU
rnacentral:tRNA from 1 species